UUCCAAUAUUUCUAAUUUGUAUUAUUACUCUAGGGUGCAGAUCGUAAUAUACUUGAAAUUAUUUGGAAAUUUUCGUGUUUUCAAAUGUAUUGAAGGGAAAAAUACAGAAAAGUACCUGUAUUGAAAAAAAAGUUGUGUUGCAGAUUUACUAAACCGAAUUUAAAUAUAAACGAUGAUUUGUGCUUUGAGUUUGUGCAAUACUUUUUAACAAGAAUAACAUUACACAAAUGACAUAUUAUGAAAGGUGCAAUAACAAGUUGGCGACAAGAAUUUUUACCGUCGAACCUGUUGGCUCAAGAACGAAGUUCUAACAGGUCACAUCGGUAUUUUUGUAUAUUGCUUAAUACCAAUGUACCAAUGUAUCAAUCUUCACAUCGUUGAGAGGCAUAUUCUAUUUUCAUAAUUACUGGGUUUGUAAAAACAAUGCUUUGAUAUGCCUCCGAGCCUUAUGUAAGAUUUGUCGAUUUUUUCUUAUUGUCCACAUCCUGUCAAGUCCCUCUAUUUUAAAACUAUAUAAUCUAGAAUACUAACGCUAAAUUUUUUUGGAUUUUUAUAUAUUUUUAAGUAGGUACAUAACUGUGCAAAUAUAUUUUUCAGUGCAAUAAUAAUACUUCUAAUAAUAUAACUACUAACAUUUAAUUAAUAUUUUUUACAAGUUUAUAAUUACUAUUAAUGUGUCCUAGUUGUUGGAUAAAACUCGUGCGAAUGAUUUUACCCUAAAAUGUUUGAACAGUGCAUAAAUAAUUUUAAAGAAUGUGCUACAUUUUAUAAUAUAAUAAGGGAACAUGUUCAAGAUAUUUUCUAAUUGUUAUUUAGAAGGGAUGUGAACAAUAUUAGGCAGCAAUUAGCAAAGAUGGGUUUUAAGUCGUCGUGGCCUAAAGGAUAAGACGUCCGGUGCAUUCGUACCUUGCGAUGCAACGGUGUUCGAAUCCCGCAGGCGGGUACCAAUUUUUCUAAUGAAAUACGUAGGUACAUACUUAACAUAUGUUACGAUUGACUUCCACGGUUAAGGAAUAACAUCGUGUAAUAAAAAUCAAACCCGCAAAAAAUUAUAAUUUGCAUAAUUACUGGUGGACCUCUUGUGAGUCCGCACGGGUAGGUACCACCACCCCGCCUAUUUCUGCCGUGAAGCAGAAGGCUUCAGUAACCACUUAACAUCAAGUGGGCUGUGAGCUCGUUCACCCAUCUAAGCAAUAAAAAAAAUUGUUAAGUGAAGUUAAUAAAAGCUUUAUAUCUUCCUAUAUAUUUUGUAUUUAAUUUCAAGUAUAUUUGAAACUAUCUCAGAGACCAUACAAGAAGUGCAAUUCAGUAUAUGUGAUGAAGGUGAAAUUUCUUUGAUCUCAAAGAGCUAAAAUAGCCAAGUGUUUUGAAGGUCCUUCACUUCUCGGUCUAGUCUGCCUGUAACCACUAGGACUACAAAUUUCUUCAUACCCAUUCACAUUAAAUUUUACUAUGAAUGAAUUUCAACUGGAAUAUUUCCACUUCAAAAUGUCAGUUCUUUGUUUAUGUUUAAAUACAAAAAAAUUAAAAGGUUUUGAGAUAUGUUUUGAAUAAAUUGGAUUCACUUUAAAUGCCCUAAUUAAAUACAUUACCAAGCUUCAGUACCCAUUUAUUAAAUUAUUUUAAUGGAAUAAUACAUAUGAUAAUAUUAUAGGAUAAAGGGCUUUAAUAUAAAGCUUACAAAUUCUGGUCAUGUCUAUUCUCAUUAAGUUUUUUUAAGUUAUCAAGACCUGAAAAUGAAGUAUUGUAGUAAUGUGUGUAUGUAAGUAUUAUAGGUAUGAAAUAUGAAUUGUUAACUCUGAAACUUGAUGAUUCAUCAUUUAAAUUCUUCAAUUUAAUUCUUUGUUUAUAUCAGACUUCAAAUAAAAAAGUAGGUUCUGCCCUAUGUUUUUUUCUUUGAACUGAUUUUGAAAACUAAUUAUGCUAUUUUAAAUUAAAAACAUACAAUUUUUUAUUAUGUGUUUUUAAUUAAAAUAAUUAAUUUAUAGUGGAGAAAUCGCACAUUAGAGCAAAUGCAAUCAUAUUUAUCAUGCCUUUGUAAUUUUUUGUAUAUAAUAAAUUACAUGAAUUGUAAGUGUAGGCAAUUGGUUGGGAACAAAAUUUAAACAUGUAAAAAAAUUAUUGAGUUAAUAAGACAUCAGUGACUUUCACUUGAUGUAUUUUUGCAUAAUUUCUCCUAAUAGUCUGUGGAGAUACAAAUUUUGCUCCACCUCAAUGCUGCGUGCAAAUUGGUGGAGAUUGGGUUCAGAAUGGAACCCAAGGGUGUUCAUAUUUUUAGCCGCACUAAGGCUAACUUUGUUCAAUUUUACUGUAUAGUUACAUGAACCAACUGCCUACAUGUUAAGGCAUAUAAAUAUCAUAAGAAUGUUGAAUUUGGUAUUAAUUUUUCUGAAUCAUACCAUUACUUUAAACCUUACAUGUACGAAUCUCCAUUUCGAAUAUUUUGAUAUUAAUAGGAAUAGGAUUUUAUAUAAUAAAAAAAAGUAGUUCUUAAUUUUCAUAGACCUUUAACUAAUAAUUUGAGAUUCCGCUUUAUGAAUUGAAAUAUCAAUAGGCUAUUCUGAAAAUUUAAUGAGAAGUCUAAAUUAGUAUGAAGAUAAUCCAUGAAUAUGACGUUUCAAAACGGCGAAAUAUAGAGAAAAAUUUAAAUUAAUUUAAUAUCCGGGUAUAUUAAAAUCUAUUGAGGAUUAGUUAAGUUGUAGAAACUUCAUGACUAGCAUUUUAUUGCUCAAAUAUUAAUAUUUCCAUAGACUUUUAGGUAAAUGAGAACAUAAAUAUAAAGUCUUUCAAUUUU